rnacentral:rRNA from 1 species
ACGGGUGAGUAACACGUGGGUGAUCUGCCUCGCACUUCGGGAUAAGCCUGGGAAACUGGGUCUAAUACCGGAUAUGACCACGGAUCGCAUGGUUUGUGGUGGAAAGGUUUACUGGUGCGAGAUGGGCCCGCGGCCUAUCAGCUUGUUGGUGGGGUAAUGGCCUACCAAGGCGACGACGGGUAGCCGGCCUGAGAGGGCGACCGGCCACACUGGGACUGAGACACGGCCCAGACUCCUACGGGAGGCAGCAGUGGGGAAUAUUGCACAAUGGGCGAAAGCCUGAUGCAGCGACGCCGCGUGAGGGAUGACGGCCUUCGGGUUGUAAACCUCUUUCGACAGGGACGAAGCGGAAGUGACGGUACCUGUAGAAGAAGCACCGGCCAACUACGUGCCAGCAGCCGCGGUAAUACGUAGGGUGCGAGCGUUGUCCGGAAUUACUGGGCGUAAAGAGCUUGUAGGCGGUUUGUCGCGUCGUC